CAUUUAACUUGAAGUCCGAACUCUCACUCUCUAACCCUGUGCAUUUGUUUUGGUUAGUAGGAUCUUAGUAUCUGAACGCCUCUUCAUUUUACAAACACAAAGUCUAUGAAUGUUUAAAUUUUAUAACAAAACAAAACUUUCAACAACGGAUCUCUUGGCUCUCGCAUCGAUGAAGAACGCAGCGAAAUGUGAUAAGUAAUGUGAAUUGCAGAAUUCAGUGAAUCAUCGAAUCUUUGAACGCAUCUUGCACUCCUUGGUAUUCCGAGGAGUAUGUCUGUUUGAGUGUCAUGAAAUCUUCAACCCUCCCUUUUCUUAGUGAAUCGAGAGGUGUUUGGAUUCUGAGUGUUUGCUCCUAACCCGAGCUCAUUCGUAAUGCAUUAGCAUUCAUAUUCGAAUUUCGGAUUGACUUGGCGUAAUAGACUAUUCGCUGAGGAAUCUAACUUCGGUUAGAGCCGGAUUUGAACUAGGAAGCUUAUAAUCUAGCUUAGUCUACUUUAAGUUUAGACCUCAAAUCAGAUAGGAUUACCCGC
rnacentral:rRNA from 1 species